rnacentral:rRNA from 1 species
GAUGAACGCUGGCGGCGUGCCUAAUACAUGCAAGUCGAGCGAACAGACGAGGAGCUUGCUCCUCUGACGUUAGCGGCGGACGGGUGAGUAACACGUGGAUAACCUACCUAUAAGACUGGGAUAACUUUGGGAAACCGGAGCUAAUACCGGAUAAUAUAUUGAACCGCAUGGUUCAAUAGUGAAAGACGGUUUUGCUGUCACUUAUAGAUGGAUCCGCGCCGCAUUAGCUAGUUGGUAAGGUAACGGCUUACCAAGGCAACGAUGCGUAGCCGACCUGAGAGGGUGAUCGGCCACACUGGAACUGAGACACGGUCCAGACUCCUACGGGAGGCAGCAGUAGGGAAUCUUCCGCAAUGGGCGAAAGCCUGACGGAGCAACGCCGCGUGAGUGAUGAAGGUCUUCGGAUCGUAAAACUCUGUUAUUAGGGAAGAACAAGUGUGUAAGUAACUAUGCACGUCUUGACGGUACCUAAUCAGAAAGCCACGGCUAACUACGUG